UGCGGUCGUGGCGGAAUUGGCAGACGCGCACGGUUCAGGUCCGUGUGGGUUAAUCCCCGUGGAGGUUCGAGUCCUCUCGACCGCAU
rnacentral:tRNA from 3 species